AGGAAGUAAAAGUCGUAACAAGGUUUCCGUAGGUGAACCUGCGGAAGGAUCAUUAUCGAGAGAGGGGCUUCGUGCUCCCGGGGGCUUCGGCCCCCAACUCUUCACCCUCUGUUUAUUUACCUAGUUGCUUUGGCGCGCCUCGGGGGUCUCACCUGUCAUGGGUGGCUCUCGUGUCUGCCUUGGGUGUUCGCGCGCCCGGGCGGAUCAGUGCCCGCCAGAGACUUAUUGAAACCCAAUUUAUUAGUGUCGUCUGAGUCAUCAUAAUUAGUAAAAACUUUCAACAACGGAUCUCUUGGUUCUGGCAUCGAUGAAGAACGCAGCGAAAUGCGAUAAGUAAUGUGAAUUGCAGAAUUCAGUGAAUCAUCGAAUCUUUGAACGCACAUUGCGCCCCUCGGUAUUCCGGGGGGCAUGCCUGUUCGAGCGUCAUUGCAACUCUCAAGCUUCGCUUGGUAUUGGGCUCUAGCCUCCUGGGCUUGCCCGAAAGUCAGUGGCGGUCCGGCGUGACUUCAAGCGUAGUAAAUUCUCUCCCGCUGUGGAGCUUGCGACGUGAUCGGCCAUCAACGCUCAAUUUUCCAAUGAUUGACCUCGGAUCAGGUAGGGAUACCCGCUGAACUUAAGCAUAUCAUA
rnacentral:rRNA from 1 species